rnacentral:rRNA from 3 species
GACCUGGUGGUCAUGGCGGGGCGGCCGCACCCGUUCCCAUUCCGAACACGGCCGUGAAACGCCCCUGCGCCAAUGGUACUUCGUCUUAAGACGCGGGAGAGUAGGUCGCUGCCAGGUCU